AGCGAACGCUGGCGGCAGGCCUAACACAUGCAAGUCGAACGGACCCUUCGGGGUUAGUGGCGGACGGGUGAGUAACACGUGGGAACGUGCCUUUAGGUUCGGAAUAGCUCCUGGAAACGGGUGGUAAUGCCGAAUGUGCCCUUCGGGGGAAAGAUUUAUCGCCUUUAGAGCGGCCCGCGUCUGAUUAGCUAGUUGGUGAGGCAAUGGCUCACCAAGGCUACGAUCAGUAGCUGGUCUGAGAGGAUGACCAGCCACAUUGGGACUGAGACACGGCCCAAACUCCUACGGGAGGCAGCAGUGGGGAAUCUUGCGCAAUGGGCGAAAGCCUGACGCAGCCAUGCCGCGUGGAUGAUGAAGGUCUUAGGAUUGUAAAAUCCUUUCACCGGUGAAGAUAAUGACUGUAGCCGGAGAAGAAGCCCCGGCUAACUUCGUGCCAGCCGCCGCGGUAAUAC
rnacentral:rRNA from 1 species